rnacentral:rRNA from 1 species
GGUGAACGCUGGCGGCGUGCUUAACACAUGCAAGUCGAACGGAAAGGCCCAAGCUUGCUUGGGUACUCGAGUGGCGAACGGGUGAGGAACACGUGGGUGAUCUGCCCUGCACUUCGGGAUAAGCCUGGGAAACUGGGUCUAAGACCGUAUAGGACCACAUCUUGGAUGGUGUGGUGGAAAGUUUUGAGGUGUGGGAUGAGCUCGCGGCCGAUCAGCGUGUAGGUGGGGUAAGGGCCUACCAAGGCGUCGACGGGUAGCCGGCCUGAGAGGGGGUACGGCCACCUUGGGACUGAGAUACGGCCCAGUCUGCUACGGGAGGCAGCAGUGGGGAAUCUGGCACAACCGUACCAAGCCUGAUGAAGCGACGCCGCGUGGGGGAUGCCGGCCUUCGGGUAGUGAACACCUUUCGCUAGGGACGCAGCGCAAGUGACGGUACCUGAAGAAGAAGCACCGGCUAACUACGUG